UGCUGAGACUUCUCCUAAGCAACCUUUGUGAAGGCUCCCUCUUGUUUGUUUAUUUUGACUCAAGUAUAUGUACAUAUUUGUAACUUAUCGGGGAUAUCAAUAAAUAAGCUUUCAUUCAUUUCAACGUAUUGUGUUAAAUACACCAAAGCCUUCUUCGCUAAGUUCUUUGAAUUUUCUUUUGUUGAAGCUUGUAUGUUGAAGCUUUGUGAGUGGAGCAUGUAGGUUGAGGUAGUGUUCCCUUAAUUUUCCGAGUGAGGAAAACUUCUCGGUUAGAGACUUGGAAAAUCCAAGUCACUGAGUGAGAUCGGCUAUAUGAAUCUUAGAACGCCAUUGUGUUCUGUCAUGUGUCAUGUCCUCCGUUAGAUCCAAGUACUCUAAGUCUUUUCUUAGGGUCUCUUCCAAAGUUUUCCUAGGUCUUCCUCUACCCCUUCGGCCCUGAACCUCUGUCUUACUUGGAUAAUUUUUUUGAAAAUUUCUGUUGUGAUAUUUUUGUAGUCUGUUGUUUAAUGAAAUCUGCAUAGUUUGUCCAGUUGGGUUUUGUGUACAGACAAACUGAUGAAUGCUCAAAACUAUAGGUUAAAUCUUAGAAGAACAACUUGAAACGGGUUAACAAACUCAUGUAAAAAGUUUGCCUAUAGGAAAUCCCGAAGACUCACAAGUUUUUCCGCGUGCUUGACUCUAGUUCAUAUAAGUUUCUCCUCGAUAGUUAAUGAUUGUCAUUUGUAUGAUAUUUUCCUCACUUUUCAUAGGUGAAAGUGGAAGAUGCAUCUCUUCUUGCAUUAGAACACGAAGGUCGUCGAGCAUUGUUAGCAGAACCUAAAGUCGACAUGUUACGAUAGAUGGUCUCUUGCGUUUUGGUGAGAGGAAUGCAGGAAUAUGCUUGAACAUUGAAGAUUUCUUGUAGAUAUGGCUUUGGGCUCACCUGCUUUCCUCUUGGUAUGUGAGAUGCAGUAUUUGGCAUUCUUAUAAGUUGAUCUAAUACGAUCGGGUGAUUUUGAGCUUACUCAGUCAAAUUUUUAUUACACAUUGCUUGCUUGUUCACGUAACUAAACAACCAUUGAUACAUUGAAGUGUUUGCUUGUAGUUCAUUAGGGAUCUCAAGAUCGAGCUGAGACAGGCAAUGGUGACCCAAAGUAUUUGUAUUCUCAAAUUGAAAUGAGACAACUUAGUCAAGACUGCAAAUGAGUUGAUGCUAUAACCUUGAAAACGAGGGUCAACCUUUACCUUAUUUGCUCGUUCUUAAACAAACCUGAAAUUGGUGCAUUACAUGAAUAAUGAUAUUUGAUCAAUUUUUUGCUAGGAACAACUUACAAGAGAACAAUAACUUGGACUCAUGUGUGUUAGAGGCAAGUGAAUUUUACAGGUUGUAAAUUGAAAAACUCAUCGAUUGGUCAUUCUGCGUUGAAUAAUGUAAGUGUUUGUUUCCUUGUUUAACAAUGCAUUGGCAGUUUAACUGUUGUUCCUCACAGUCGGCUUCCUCAAAACCUCAAUUGGGAGCUACUAUUCUAAGUAUCUCACUAAAUGAUAGAAAGGUAUGAAGUUGGGCUGAAAUUUGUUCUCUCAGUGAUACAUGUGAUGAUUUAGUAAUCUAGUUCUAAUUCUGUUAAUGCAUUAGCAAUUAGCUCAAACGAAUUGAUUUAUUUUCUUGCUUGUGUAAUCUAAUAGUCAGGAUAAUUGCAUAAUAUCAAUGCAUAUAGAUUCAGAGUGCUCAACAACCCAAGAUGUAGCCUCACGCACUCUGAAUUAGGUUUGUCUAUACUCCCAUCAUAUCAUUUUAACCAUUUAAUUGAUUACCUUAGACCUCUUGAGCAUAUAAGGAGGAUGCGAGAGACUAAAGCACAAUCUUGAAAUUUCACGGAUUACCAAGAUUUGGGCAUUGCCGCAUAUUUUUGUAGAUACUAAAGGCUUAGGCUUAGGCUUCCCAUUUUAUUGAUGCAUUGAGUGUUUCCUACAUAACUCCGCCUAUGUCUUACAUGGCCGGUCCCAAGCCCGGAUAAAGGAGGAGGGGGAGGGCGUCAGGUAGUCGACAGCCGGCACUCCAUGAUCACGUCGAAUCCUUAUGAAAAUGAAUCCAGAACAAAAUCGCGCUAAAGCUAGGGCGUCACCCGUAAGUGGCGCGCUGUGUGGCCCGAGCACAGUGAUAAGUGAGCAAGGGUCGCUGUAUCUCCAUCGGCACCCGGAUGCAGUGUUAAAUGAGCAAGGGGGCCAUAGAAACUUCUUUUCGAACGACUCCACUCAAAGUUGUUUGGGAGCAUAUGCUCCUAUCAACUUUACCCGGGACACACAAAAGAAGUACUUUGAUCCUAUUAGACGGGGGAGGGUGAAGAAGCUAGGACAGAAGGGUAGAGUUCAAGAGAGCAAAAUGCGUUUAGGAACGUGGAAUAUAGGAACCUUAACGGGAAAAUCUAUGGAAGUAGUGGAAGUUAUGGUGAGGAGAAGGAUAAAUAUUAUGUGCCUACAAGAAACUAAGUGGGUUGGUAGUAAGGCAAAGGAUCUAGAAAACUCAGGGUUUAAACUUUGGUAUUCGGGCACAAAUAGAACGAGAAACGGUGUUGGCAUCAUCGUGGACAAGACCUUGGUACAAGAUGUUGUAGAUGUCAAGAGGGUAGGAGAUAGAAUCAUGGCAAUCAAGAUUGUAAUAGGACAAGAACUUAUCAAUGUGAUUAGUGCGUACGCACCUCAAGUAGGGUUGGAUACGAGUUCGAAGGAGAAAUUUUGAUCAAGAUUGUAAUAGGACAAGAACUUAUCAAUGUGAUUAGUGCGUACGCACCUCAAGUAGGGUUGGAUACGAGUUCGAAGGAGAAAUUUUGGGAAGAUCUUGGAGACUUGGUGCAAGGAAUUGCUCAGACGGAGAAGUUAUUUAUAGGAGGAGAUUUAAAUGGACACGUGGGCAGGGAGACAGGCAACUAUGGAGGUUUUCAUGGUGGCCAUGGUUUUGGGGAGAGAAACGAGGAUGGGGAAGCUAUCUUGGAUUUUGCAAUGGCAUAUGAUCUCUUCUUAGCCAACACCUUCUUUAAGAAGAGAGAAGAACAUGUGAUCACCUACAAGAGUGGGUCGUCAAAAACACAAAUAGAUUUUCUUCUAAUGAGGAAAGGGGAUCGUAUAACUUGUAAGGAUUGCAAAGUUAUACCAGGAGAGAGCGUGGCUAAUCAACAUCGCUUGUUGGUGAUGGAUGUACAUAUCAAAAGAGUAAGACAAAAGAACAAGACUUGGAAGUGCCCAAGGACUAGAUGGUGGAAUCUAAAAGAAGAAAAACAAGCCAUUUUCAAAGAGAAGGUAAUCACCCAAUGUGUGUGGGAUAGAGAGGGGGAAGCUAGCCAAAUGUGGGAUUCCAUGGCUAGUUGUAUCCGAAAAGUAGCAAAAGAGGUAUUAGGAGAGUCCAAGGGCUUUGCCCCACACCAAAAGGAAUCUUGGUGGUGGAAUGAGGAGGUACAAACAAAGGUGAAGGCUAAGAAGGAAUGUUGUAAAGCCUUAUACAAGGAGAGGACCGAUGAAAAUGGUGAAAGGUAUAGAAAAGCGAAGCAAGAGGCGAAGAAAGCUGUCAGAGAAGCUAAGUUAGCGGCUUACGACGAUAUGUAUAAACGACUAGAUACCAAAGAAGGAGAGUUGGAUAUCUAUAAACUAGCUAGAGCAAGGGAAAAGAAGACAAGGGACCUAAACCAAGUGAGGUGCAUCAAGGAUGAGGAUGGAAAGGUUCUUGCUACAGAGAACGCGGUUAAAGACAGAUGGAGAGGUUAUUUUCAUAAUCUUUUCAAUGAAGGACAUGAAAUGAGUGCUUCUUUAGGGGAGUUGAGUAACUCAGAAGAGUGUAGAAACUACUCUUUUUAUCGUCGAAUCCGGAAGGAAGAAGUGGUUGUAGCUUUGAAGAAGAUGAAGCAUAAGAAAAGCAAUAGGCCCAGACGAUAUACCAAUCGAAGUGUGGAAAGUUUUGGGAGAGACAGGUAUAACAUGGCUCACUGACCUUUUCAAUAGGAUUUUGAAAACGAAGAAGAUGCCAAAUGAGUGGCGAACGAGCACUUUGGUGCCUAUCUACAAGAAUAAGGGCGACGUACAAAAUUGCAUGAACUAUAGGGGUAUUAAGCUAAUGAGUCAUACAAUGAAGCUCUGGGAGAGAGUCAUUGAGCAUAGAUUGAGGCAAGAGACACGGGUUUCGGACAACCAAUUCGGGUUCAUGCCAGGGCGCUCAACCAUGGAGGCAAUCUAUCUCUUACGAAGAUUGAUGGAAAGAUAUAGAGAUGGGAAAAAGGAUUUACACAUGGUCUUUAUAGAUUUGGAAAAAGCGUAUGAUAGGGUCCCAAGAGACAUUCUUUGGAGGAUUUUAGAGAAGAAAGGAGUACGAGUAGCAUAUAUCCAAGCUAUAAAGGAUAUGUAUGAAGGAGCAAAGACUGCCGUAAGAACUCAUGAAGGACAAACCGAAAGCUUUCCCAUAACUGUAGGAUUACAUCAAGGCUCAUCCUUAAGUCCUUACCUUUUUGCGUUGGUAAUGGAUGAGUUAACAGGACAUAUUCAAGAUGAUAUUCCUUGGUGUAUGCUUUUCGCAGACGAUAUAGUGUUGAUAGAUGAAACUCAGGAAGGGGUAAAUGCAAAGCUUAACCUUUGGAGAGAAGUGUUGGAAUCUAAAGGUCUUCGCCUAAGCCGAUCAAAGACAGAAUAUAUGGAGUGCAAGUUCAGUGCAAAUGGAGGCCAAAACGAGUUAGGGGUGAGGAUCGGAGAUCAAGAAAUACCAAAGAGCGACCGUUUUCGUUACCUAGGAUCUAUCUUGCAAAAGAACGGAGAAUUAGAUGGAGAUCUCAACCAUAGAAUACAAGCUGGAUGGAUGAAGUGGAAGAGUGCAUCCGGCGUGUUGUGUGACCGCCGUAUGCCACUGAAGCUCAAGGGAAAAUUUUAUAGGACGGCAAUAAGGCCGGCGAUGCUGUAUGGCACAGAAUGUUGGGCGGUGAAACAUCAACACGUACACAAAAUGGGUGUAGCGGAGAUGAGGAUGCUUCGUUGGAUGUGUGGGCACACGAGAAAGGAUAAGAUUAGGAAUGAGGAUAUCCGGGGUAAAGUAGGAGUAGCCGAAAUUGAAGGAAAGAUGAGAGAAAAUCGGUUACGGUGGUUUGGACAUGUGCAAAGAAGGCCUACUGACGCUCCGAUUAGAAGAUGCGACUAUGGGACAGAGGUUCAGGGCCGAAGGGGUAGAGGAAGACCUAGGAAAACUUUGGAAGAGACUCUAAGAAAAGACUUAGAGUACUUGGAUCUAACGAAGGACAUGACACAGGAUCGAGCACAAUGGCGUUCUAAGAUUCAUAUAGCCGAUCCCACUCAGUGACUUGGAUUUUCCAAGUCUCCAACCGAGAAGUUUUCCUCACUCGGGAAAUUAAGGGAACACUACCCCAACCUACAUGCUCCACUCAGAAAGCUUCAACAUACAAGCUUCAACAAAAGAAAAUUCAAAGAACUUAGCGAAGAAGGCUUUGGUGUAUUUAACACAAUACGUUGAAAUGAAGGAAAGCUUAUUUAUUGAUAUCCCCGAUAAGCUACAAAUAUGUACAUAUACAUGAGUCAAAAUAAACACACAAGAGGGAGCCUUCACAAAGGUUGCUUAGGAGAAGUCUCAGCAGUCGGUAGAGCCCCAGAAAGAGAAGGCACCGGAGGGGGAUCAUUUGGAGCCUCAGUACUGGACAGAACCCUAGAAGGAGGAGGCAUCAGAGGUUGAUCAUUUGGAGCUUCAUUACGCGGUACAGCCCCAGAAGACGAAGGCAAUAAAUGCCUUUGGAACAAACCCACAAAUCUCUGAUGAUCAAGUAAAACCUGACCAUCAGUUUCCUUCAUCUGGUCAAGCUUCCUCUUCAUGUUUGUAGCAUAGUCAUGUGCGAGCCGGUGCAACUGUUUAUUCUCAUGCUUGAGCCCUCUAAUCUCCUGUUUGAGACUCAUCACUUCAGCCGCCAAUGAUUCAACUUGGCGGGUUCGAGCAAAUAGGCGUUGGGCCAUAUUAGACACAGAACCUGCACACUGAACACUGAGAGCCAGCGAAUCCUUAACAGCUAACUCAUCAGACCGUUUGGAAAGUAGUCUGUUAUCUUUGGGAGUGAGAAGGUUCCUGGCCACCACCGCAGCGGUCAUAUCAUUCUUCAUCACGGAAUCCCCAACGGUAAGAGGACCAGUAGGGGAGACGAAGGAUGGGCGCCAUAUGUUGUCUGGAGAAGGCGGGGCUGCCUCUUCAACAAGGUUCAAGUCAAAACGACGGUCGGAGGGGCCAGACAUUUUCAAAGGUGUUGAAGAGAGAAGAGGUCGGACAAAUCAAGAUCUUAGAAGUGCAAGAAUGAAGCUUCUACUGGUGGAGAUUCAAGUGUGCUUUGGAACUUAAUGCCAGCCCCUAUAAAAAUCUGCACUCGACGGAGCUUCAGAAAUCGAAGAGGCGCCUGCUCAGAAAUCGAAGAGGCGUUUGCUUUCUCAAAAGCUGGGCUGCUUAGAGAUCACGAGGGUUGAUCUCAGAAAUCGAAGAGGCGUUUGCUUUCUCAAAAGUUGGGCUGCUCAAAGACCACGAAGGCCGAUCUCAGAAAUCGAAGAGGCGCUCGCUUUCUCAAAAGCUGGGCUCCCAGAGACCACGAGGGCCGAUCUCAGAAAUCGAAGAGGCACCUACUUUUCCAGCCUUGUCAGCACCUGUCACACACGCACACUCAGCUUUGCGGAAAUUAUGGGCAUUCUGUCAAAGACUUCUGGGGAAGUAGAAAACACAUGAAUCUUACUGUUCAAUCACCCACUUCCCACACGCAACAAUAGCUCAUGGGUACCACAGAUAACUUUGCCAAAGUUCUCUGCCAAAGUUGAGCACGUGAAGCUUGCAGCUCCCACUACAUCGCUCUGACCAAGAAGGGUAAAAGAAUAGCAAAGAAACAGCACUAACAAAGUUUAGACCCAUAAAUUUUGAAGGUCUAGCUACCAUAUUAUUACCCACAAGGGUAAAGGAACAGUACCACUGCUGGAUAAUUGGAAAGUCCCUGUGUGUCAACCUCUGUGCUUCGUGGCAAGGUAGACUAGCAAACAUGCCCAACCUUUACUCACAUUCGAGAAAACACUCCCAAUAAGAUUGCUUGCUCCAAAAUCGAAGAGGCACCGUCCUCCGAAUCUCGAGAGCCAGACUCCCAACAUGACUACUUUCUUAAAAAUCGAAGAGAGGGUAAAGGAACAGUACCAUUGCUGGAUAAUUGGAAAGUCCCUGUGUGUCAACCUCUGUGCUUCGUGGCAAGGUAGACUAGCAAACAUGCCCAACCUUUACUCACAUUCGAGAAAACACUCCCAACAAGAUUGCUUGCUCCAAAAUCGAAGAGGCACCGCCCUCCGAAUCUCGAGAGCCAGACUCCCAACAUGAUUACUUUCUCAAAAAUCGAAGAGACACUGCUCCCCGAAUCUCGAGAGCCAGACCCCCAGCAUGAUUGCUUUCUCAAAAAUCGAUGAGGCAUCGUUCUCCGAAUCAAUCGAAGAGGCGCUCGCUUUCUCAAAAGCUGGGCUGCUCAGAGACCACGAGGGCCGAUCUCAGAAAUCGAAGAGGCACCUACUUUUCUAGCCUUGUCAGCACCUGUCACACGCACACUCAGCUUUGCAGAAAUUAUGGGCAUUCUGUCGAAGACUUCUGGUGAAGUAGAAAGCACAUGAAUCUUACUGUUCAAUCACCCACUUCCCACACGCAACAAUAGCUCAUGGGUACCACAGAUAACUUUGCCAAAGUUCUCUGCCAAAGUUGAGCACGUGAAGCUUGCAGCUCCCACUACAUCGCUCUGACCAAGAAAGGUAAAAGAAUAGCAAAGAAACAGCACUAACAAAGUUUAGACACAUAAAUUUUGAAGGUCUAGCUACCAUAUUAUUACCCACAAGGGUAAAGGAACAGUACCACUGCUGGAUAAUUGGAAAGUCCCUGUGUGUCAACCUCUGUGCUUCGUGGCAAGGUAGACUAGCAAACAUGCCCAACCUUUACUCACAUUCGAGAAAACACUCCCAACAAGAUUGCUUGCUCCAAAAUCGAAGAGGCACCGUCCUCCGAAUCUCGAGAGCCAGACUCCCAACAUGACUACUUUCUCAAAAUCGAAGAGAGGGUAAAGGAACAGUACCAUUGCUGGAUAAUUGGAAAGUCCCUGUGUGUCAACCUUUGUGCUUCGUGGCAAGGUAGACUAGCAAACAUGCCCAACCUUUACUCACAUUCGAGACAACACUCCCAACAAGAUUGCUUGCUCCAAAAUCGAAGAGGCACCGCCCUCCGAAUCUCGAGAGCCAGACUCCCAACAUGAUUACUUCCUCAAAAAUCGAAGAGACACUGCUCUCCGAAUCUCGAGAGUCAGACCCCCAGCAUGAUUGCUUUCUCAAAAAUCGAAGAGGCAUCGUUCUCCGAAUCUCGAGAGCCAGAUACCACAGACCACUUUUUCAAAGUGCUCUGACAGAGUUAAAACAUGUGAAACUGGCAGCUCCCACUACCGUGCUAUGACCAAGCAGGGUAAAGGAAUAGCAUUACUACUUGUUGUUAGGGAGACUCCUAUAUAUGUCGACCUCCAUCCCCAACGGACAGGCAGACCUGCAAAAAUGCUCAACCCUUCAUCAUAUCUGAGAGGGCACUCCCAACGAAGCCUUUCGAAAUAUUCAGCUUUCUUUCCCCCCGAUAAUACCUCUGCAAACAAGCUAUACUAGAGCAAGAAUAUCUCAUAUCAUCAGGGUUAAAAGCAAGAGUAUCCCAUAUCAUGCUUUUUCCCUGUCUUUUUUCUUUUGGCCUUGUUUUUACCUGCAAGACAAGGAGAAAGAGAGCAAUCAGUCAGCACUUGGAAUCAAGCUUCCAGCCAGGAACUGACUGCCUGGAACCCCUUACCUGAUUACUUACCUGGCAUUGCUCUCGAGUACUCAUCUUCAACAUCUUAUGUUUCCAGGGAAGAUUCCGCAUCUGCUUGAGGAACAGAUAGGGCAAGUGCGAAGGAUACAAGGAAGCAUGUGGAGACAAGCGUAACAGCACACGUGCCGAUACAUCCAUUACUCUGUCAAAAGCAAAAGUAUCCCAUAUCAGCAGGGUGGAACGUACUCUAGAUUUGAUGGACUUGUUUUGACCCUCAAAUUCUUCAGUCGGCCUUAUACUCUGGAGGAAACCAGAAAACCCUCCAGCUCAGUUCAAGAAUAAGCCUGUGGAAAGUUACUUCUUCAAAAGCAAAAGUAUCUCAUAUCAUCUCUUCUCAUUUUUCUUCUCUUUAUCCUUCAUGCUGCUGCAAGAUGGGGAGAAGGUGAACAAUCAGUCGGAGCUCUGAUUGCUUACCUUGUCUGUCACCUCUUUCAGCAGACCCCCUAGCUCGGCGACUUGGGGGACUCCUACUACAUGGUUUGUAUCGCGCUUGACCAAGCCUGAAACUACAAGUAAGCUUCAAGUGAAAUUGAUACAUUACCUUGUGCAUCUCCACCAGUUAAAGAUACCACCCCUGGAUGGAGGAAGAGUACUUCCAGAGAAGAUGCCACAUCUACCUAUGAGACAGAUAAGGCAAGUCAAGACGACACCACACUCCGAUACUUAGAAGUUUCGUGAUUACGAGAUCAUUCUCCCACAAUAUUUCCUAAUGUCAUUUGUACUAAAUCAUUCACUUGUACUCACUAAAGGAGAGCUUGAACCUAUGUACUUGUGUAAACCCUUCACAAUUAAUGAGAACUCUUCUAUUCCGUGGACGUAGCCAAUCUGGGUGAACCACGUACAUCUUGUGUUUGCUUUCCUAUCUCUAUCCAUUUAUAUACUUAUCCACACUAAUGACCGGAGCAAUCUAGCGAAGAUCACAAAAAGCGACCGUUUUCGCUACCUAGGAUCUAUCUUGCAAGAGAACGGAGAAUUAGAUGGAGAUCUCAACCAUAGAAUACGAGCUGGAUGGAAAGAGUGCAUCCGGCGUGUUGUGUGACCGUCGUAGGCCACUGAAGCUCAAGGGAAAAUUUUAUAGGACGGCAAUAAGGCCAGCGAUGUUGUAUGGCACAGAAUGUUGGGUGGUGAAGCAUCAACACGUACACAAAAUGGGUGUAGCGGAGAUGAGGAUGCUUCGUGGGAUGUGUGGGCACACGAGAAAGGAUAAGAUUGGGAAUGAGGAUAUCCGAGGUAAAGUAGGAGUAGCCGAAAUUGUAGGAAAGAUGAGAGAAAAUCGGCUCUGGUGAUUUGGACAUGUGCAAAGAAGGCCGACUGACGCUCCGGUUCGAAGAUGUGACUACGGGACAGAGGUUCAGGGCCGAAGGGGUAGAGGAAGACCUAGGAAAACUUUGGAAGUGACUCUAAGAAAAGACUUAGAGUACUUGGAUCUAACGGAGGACAUGACACAAAACCGAGCGCAAUGGCGUUCUAGGAUUCAUAUAGCCGACCCCACUUAGUGGGAAAAGGCUUUGUUGUUGUUGUUGUUGUUGUUGUUGUUGUUGUUGUUGUUGUUGUUGUAUUGAGUGUUUCCUACAUACAUUCUCCAUUUAUAUAUUCAUAACAAAGAAGAACAUCAUAAAUAGUUGGUUAAUUAUUUUGUUAUUAAGUUUUGUAUUUUUUGACAUUUGAACGAGGUUAGAAAUGUAUGCAUUUUUUAUUAAGUUCCGUCACCAAAACUCAGGGCCUUCGUUUCCCAGUGGCAUUUUUUAUCAUGUGGUACUUUCAUGCAUUUUGUUUAUCCUCAUAAAAUAAUACAUUGUCUCCAUGAAAACUAAUUUAUCAAUUGUGUCAAUAAAUUAGAGGCAAUACAACCCACUAUGAUGCAGUGGUGAAUUCAGCAACAUCUGGAGUACUUGCAGCCAGAUUGAAAUCAGAUCGGUGCGAAACGAUGCCUUGGAAAGACAGUGAAGGUAGAGCUGAAUGGAACGAGGGUCCCUGUAAAGUUAUUUCUUGAUUAUGUUGACCCUACUUACAAUAUGAUCAAUUAUUAUCACAAUAUGUUUGUUGAUUAAGAUCAAGAUGCUUAACUAUUAUUAUUAUUGUUCUUUUAUUUUCUUCAAACAAUAUGUUGUCUAAAUUGUAAAUUCAAUGGAUUCAUAACUUUUUUUUCAUCAGCAAUGUCCAAUUUUGUUGUUUCUUCUUUUCCUUUAUUUUAAACUCAAUCAUUCAAUUUCAAAUGAAGCAACCAUAUUUUACUUUUGUAUAAUAAAGGCAUGAGGUUUACAUAGAAGGAAUGUUGAGAAUCGAACCACUUAAGCUACAAGUCAAUUUAUGUGAGCAAAUUAUGAUUAACGAUAACACGGAGUGUGAUUAACAAUGAUGGUAGAACACUAUGUAAUCAAUAUAAAAAUAUUUAUGAAACCGAACCAAAAUAAUCCAUACUAUUUAUGGAAGAGAGCAAAACAAACAUUAUUUAUUGAACUACAACAAAAUAACGCACACUAUUUCUGAAGUGAACCACUAUUUCUUGAACUACAAACAAAAUAACCCACACUAUUUCUGAAGUGAACCACUAUUUUUUGAACUACAACAAAAUAACCCACAGGUUGUAAACAGUGGGUAUGUUUGCCCACAUGUAUACAGUAAAGAUUCAUAUGCUAAAUAGUGAAGUUUUUGUAAGUUUUCAAG
rnacentral:lncRNA from 1 species